UACGUAGGGUGCGAGCGUUGUCCGGAAUUAUUGGGCGUAAAGAGCUCGUAGGCGGCUUGUCGCGUCGGAUGUGAAAGCCCGGGGCUUAACUCCGGGUCUGCAUUCGAUACGGGCGGGCUAGAGUUCGGUAGGGGAGAUCGGAAUUCCUGGUGUAGCGGUGAAAUGCGCAGAUAUCAGGAGGAACACCGGUGGCGAAGGCGGAUCUCUGGGCCGAUACUGACGCUGAGGAGCGAAAGCGUGGGGAGCGAACAGG
rnacentral:rRNA from 1 species